UCGUGUAACCUGUUUUUAUAUACAGUCUAUGCGUGUAACUUAAAGAGUUUAAAUCAGUGCAGCUCGUUUGUGUUAUAAUAAGCUUUUUAAUGAAUACGUUAUUUUCUAUUGUUAGAUUAUAUCUACUAGCGACAAUGAACAGCUGUUAAGAGUUAAGCACGGAAAAGAAGCGGUUGAUCAUGAACACUGUUUGGAUCGAAACAUUUAAUGGAUUUAAAAACAUUUACUCAAAAUAUGCAGAAAAGAGCUAUAAACUCAUGAUACUGUUAUAAAGAUGGAGUUCAUUAAAGAGGAGAGUGAAGACGUGAAGAUUGAAGAAACAGUCAAACAUGAAGAUACUGAGGAACAAACAGCAGGAUUUGGCGCAUGCCCACACUGCCAGAAGCACCAAAAGUUGGUUGAAUGACCAUGGUGUUGGUGUGCUUGACUGACCAGCAAACUCACCAGACCUGAACCCCAGAGGGAAUCUAUGGGCUAUUGUCAAGAGGACAAUACAAAACAAUGCAGAUGAGCUGAAGGCCACUGUCAAAGAAACUGGGCUUCCAGACCACCUAAGAAGUGCCACAAACUGAUCACUUCCAUGCCACGCCAAACCAAGACAGUAAUUCAAGCAAAAAGAGCCCCUACCAAGUAUUGAGUACAUGUACAGUAAAUGAACAAACUUUCCAGAAGGCCAAAAAUUCAUUUAAAUGUUUUUUUUUUAUUGUGUGAAAUAUGAGUCCCGAUAGUUUUUUCAUGUACGUACAGUAAGGGAGGGAUUGGCAAAAUCACACAUGUAGUAAAUCAACCUGGACACUAGAAACAUACAACAACCUUUAGGAACAUGAAAAAAAGCCUUUUGGGGAGUUUUUAUAGCCAUAAUUGUGUACUGUGUUUGUGUAUAGGGGUAUAUAUACAAACCCGAUUCCAAAAAAGUUGGGACACAGUAAAAAUUGUGAGUAAAAAAGGAAUGGAAUACUUUACAAAUCUCAAACUUAUAUUCUAUUCACAAUAGAAUACAGAUAACAUAUCAAAUGUAGAAAGUGAGACAUUUUGAAAUGUCAUGCGAAAUUCUGGCUAAUUUUGGAUUUCCAGAGAGCUACACAUUCCAAAAAAGUUGGGACAGGUAGAAAUAAGAGGCCAGAAAAGUUAAAUGUGUAUAUAAGGAACAGCUGGAGGACCAAUUUGCAACUUAUUAGGUCAUUGGGAACAUGAUUGGGUAUAAAAAGAGCCUCUCAGAGUUGCAGUGUCUCUCAGAAGUCAAGAUGGGCAGAGGAUCACCAAUUCCCUGAGUUUCUCAGAGAAAAAUUGCAAAGAGUUUGAAGUUAUCAUCAUCUACAGUGCAUAAUAUCAUCCAAAGAUUCAGAGAAUCUGGAACAAUCUCUGUGUGUAAGGGUCAAGGCUGGAAAACCAUACUGGAUCCCCACGAUCUUCAGCUCUUAGACAGCACUGCAUCACAUACAGGAACAUGAUCCAGAAGCGCAGAUGUUUUCUCUGGGCCAAAGCUCGUUUAAAAUGGACUGUGGCAAAGUGGAAAACUGUUCUGUGGUCAGACAAAUCAAAAUCUGAAGUUCUUUUUGGAAAACUGGGACGCCAUGUCAUCCGGACUAAAGAGGACAAGGACAACCCAAGUUGUUAUCAGCGCUCAGUUCAGAAGCUGCAUCUCUGAUGGUAUGGGGUUGCAUGAGUGUGUGUGGCAUGGGCAGCUUACACAUCUGGAAAGGCACCAUCAAUGCUGAAAGAUGUAUCCAAGCUCUAGAACAACACAUGCUCCCAUCCAGACAUCGUCUCUUUCAGGGAAGACCUUGCAUUAUCCAAUAUGACAAUGCCAGACCACACACUGCAUCAAUUACAACAUCAAGGCUGCGUAAAAGAAGGAUCCGGGUACUGAAAUGGCCAGCCUACAGUCCAGAUCUUUCACCCAUGGAAAACAUUUGGUGCAUCAUAAAGCGGAAGAUGUGACAGAGAAGACCUAAAACAGUUGAGCAACUAGAAGCCUGUAUUAGACAAGAAUGGGACAACAUUCCUAUUCCUAAACUUGAGCAACUUGUCUCAGUCCCCAGACAUUUGCAGACUGUUAUAACAAGAAGAGGGGAUGCCACACAGUGGGAAACAUGGCCUUGUCCCAACUUUUUUGAGAUGUGUUGAUGCCAUGAAAUGUAUUUUUAUUACUUAUUUUUCCCUUAAAAUGAUACAUUUUCUCAGUUUAAACAUUUGAUAUGUCAUUUAUGUUGUAUUCUGAAUAAAAUAUUGAAAUUUGAAACUUCCUCAUCAUUGCAUUCAAUUUUUAUUCACAAUUUGUACACUGUUCCAACUUUUUUGGAAUCUGGUUUGUAUAAUGCGAUGCACUUGCCUCAGAUGGGGCCAUUCUAUUGACAGACCACCUCAUUCACCGACAAAAACCUUGUUAACUCCACUUGAGCUUGUUUUUCAUAUCGCCUAAUAUUAAGUGCAAGUGUCUGAUACAAUACCGACACUGACGACACAGCGUUGUUUAAUUAUUGUUUCCCCCUUUUUCUUUUUCCCCAUUUUAGUAGUGCGCCAUGAAAUAGUUUUAUUUGUCAACAUCCACAACAGACAUCAUAUUGUGUGUAUUUGGUUGCUUAGGAUCAACAAACUAGGGAUGCAACGAUACCACUUUUUCAAAACCAUCUGAUCCGAUACCAAACAUUCUAAGUAUCUGCCGAUACCGAUACCAAUCCGAUUUCAGUGUUUGUUUAUUUGUUUAUUUUUUUACCUUCAAAACUAAGGACUGUUCAUAUAUCACUUAUUCAUUAAAAUGUAUUUGUUUUAGGUUAAGAAAGAAAUACCAAAUCUGACCGCACAUUACUUGAUGAAAAAGGGGAAAACAUAAGAGAUAUAUGAUGCAAUCUACAGUAUGGCAGACAAAUUUAUUAAGAAAAGAUGAUGCAAUAACAAAAUUUAUUUAUUUCCCUCAUUAUAAACUUGAAAGCUGCGAGCAUUUUUAAACCAUGCAAUAUAGCUACACACAGUCCCCCGCCGAAAUUUAGGACCUGAUUAAAUAUAACUAUUAUACAGAGAUUUGUAAAAUAAAAUUCUAAAUAUUUUUAGGCCUGAAAAAUGGUUGUUUUAAAAUUGCAUGCCAUUACCAUAUUAUUCAUGACCUUACAGACCCUAAAAGCAACUGAUGCACGCUCUUAAUCACUUAAACUAGUCCACCAAUGUGAUUGUGCGAAUGCUCCGUUACCGUAAUCACAUGCCGAAUCACAUACCCCACUUUUUUCCGGGACCUCAAAAUUUACAAAUUAAGCACUGCUUUGUACAUACAGUAAGGGAGGUAUUGGCAAAAUCUCACUUGUAGUAAAUCAACCUGGACACUAGAAACAUACUACAACCUUUUAGGAACAUAAAAAAAAUCAUUUUGAGGACUUUUUAUAAUCAUAAUUGUGUACUCUGUUUGUGUAAAGGGGUAUAUAUAUUUAUAUAAAAAUUCACCUAUAGUAAGAAUUGUCCCUUCAGCAGCCUUGAUGAAUGUGUAGCGAAUAUCUUGUGUAACUUGCAUUAAUACUCUGGGUUCAUCUGCCUGUCUAUAGUUUGCUUCAUUAGAUUUUGUUUUUUUAAUACAUAUGACGGAAACAGCAUGAAACCUUGCACGUUACGUUUAUAUUCGACA